CCCUUAGAUGUUCUGGGCGGCCCGCGCACUACAUUGGCACUAGCAAAGAGAUCCUAGAUUGAAUUCUUUGGGGUAUUCUUCUAAAUGGUGUCGUGACUGGGAUAAAUCCUUGUAAUUAUUGGUUUUGAACGAGGAAUUCCUUGUAAUCGCGGUUUAUCAGCUCGCGUUGAAUGCGUCCCUGCCCUUUGUACACACCGCCCGUCGCUCCUACCGAUGGAUCGUCCGGUGAAGCUCACGGAGUGACUGUUCACGCAACGGUUUACGAAGUGAAAUGGACCUCACGAUUUAGAGGAAGGAGAAGUCGUAAC
rnacentral:rRNA from 1 species